UUUCAUCUACAAGUUAGUUAAACAACAAUCUUAUCUGAGGUUGAAAUAUGAUUUUACGACAUGUUUGGUUCAUCAUCUCUUGUCUAACUGUCUCGACAUUGUCAUCUUUAAACAAGAUUUCUAAAUCUGAAAAUAUCAUUGAGAGAAGAAAUCCAUUUCAACGGAAAAUUAUUGGAAGUGAGGAACAAUGGAAUCAGGAGAGAAGAUCAGGGAUUUUCCCACAGAGUUUUA